GAUGAAGAACGCAGCGAAAUGCGAUAUGUAAUGUGAAUUGCAGAAUUCAGUGAAUCAUCGAAUCUUUGAACGCACAUGGCGCCUUCCAGUAUCCUGGGAGGCAUGCCUGUCCGAGCGUCGUUUCAACCCUCGAGCCCCCGUGGCCCGGCGUUGGGGAUCUGCCACGGCAGGCCCCUAAAACCAGUGGCGGACCCGAAGGCCAUCUCCUUUGCGCAGUAGCAUCAGCCUCGCAUUGGGAUCCCUCGGCGUCCUGCCUCUAAACCCCCCACAAGUCCGCUCCGGCGGCACCAAGGUUGACCUCGGAUCAGGUAGGAAUACCCGCUGAACUUAAGCAUAUCAAUAAGCGGAGGA
rnacentral:misc_RNA from 1 species